rnacentral:rRNA from 1 species
GAUGAACGCUGGCGGCGUGCCUAAUACAUGCAAGUAGAACGCUGAAGGAGGAGCUUGCUCUUCUGGAUGAGUUGCGAACGGGUGAGUAACGCGUAGGUAACCUGCCUGGUAGCGGGGGAUAACUAUUGGAAACGAUAGCUAAUACCGCAUGACAACAGUUAUUGCAUGAUAACUGUUUAAAAGGGGCAACUGCUCCACUACCAGAUGGACCUGCGUUGUAUUAGCUAGUUGGUGAGGUAACGGCUCACCAAGGCGACGAUACAUAGCCGACCUGAGAGGGUGAUCGGCCACACUGGGACUGAGACACGGCCCAGACUCCUACGGGAGGCAGCAGUAGGGAAUCUUCGGCAAUGGACGGAAGUCUGACCGAGCAACGCCGCGUGAGUGAAGAAGGUUUUCGGAUCGUAAAGCUCUGUUGUAAGAGAAGAACGAAUGUGAGAGUGGAAAGUUCACACUGUGACGGUAUCUUACCAGAAAGGGACGGCUAACUACGUG